AUUGAACUACGUAUUUCAACAUAAUGGUUGGUAGAAAUAUUUGUAUACAACUCGAUGACAGAACGGAUAUCUCUCAGUGUUCGACCGACAUCGGAAGAAGAAGGUUCUCCUUAUUGUCAUCACAAUUCCUUCCCCGUACAAGAACAGAAUUGGACACGGUGACAAUCAUUUGGGAGAUUGACACAGUAUCGAAUCUGAUUUGAAGUUGCCGAAGACGAAGUGAGAAGUGGGGAGAGACAACGCUUGUUUAACGAAGAGUAUUCCAUAAUUCUAUCAGUCUGUUCUGAACCAUCGACAAGAGAGGAUUCUUGUGGGUGUUGUUACAACUUCCUUCGAUAUAUCGAACGAAAGGACAGCGGCGAUACUACUGCAUUCUACAGAACAACUACCUCCGCAACAUAACAGAGCGCAUCCGAGAAGAAUAAAUCAACACAUCUCAUCCACGAUACACUAUACAUUAAUAUUACUAGUUACUUUUUUAUUGUAUAUUAAAGAGCGAUCAUAUUUGUAUAGUAUAUAUAGAUAUAAGAACUGAUUGUUAUAUUAAUAACUGUAUGUAUGUAUGUAUGGAUGGAUGUAUGUAUGUACGUAUCUAUGUAAUUAAUAGCUGUAUGUACUUUCAAUGUAUUCAGAACUUGUAUGCAACAGAAAAUUUCAAUAAACGAUAAA